rnacentral:rRNA from 1 species
UACAGAGGGUGCAAGCGUUGUUCGGAAUUACUGGGCGUAAAGCGUGCGCAGGCGGUUGUGUAAGCCAGAUGUGAAAUCCCCGGGCUUAACCUGGGAAUGGCAUUUGGGACUGCACGGCUAGAGUACGGCAGAGGAGACUAGAAUUCCUGGUGUAGCAGUGAAAUGCGUAGAUAUCAGGAGGAAUACCGAUGGCGAAGGCAGGUCUCUGGGUCGAUACUGACGCUCAUGCACGAAAGCGUGGGGAGCAAACAGG